rnacentral:lncRNA from 1 species
CGGGGACCCGGCGGCGCCAGCUUCCCCCGGCGCGCAGAGCCGGGAGGCGCGGACGAGAUACCUCUGCACCUUCAGGAGACUUGCAGGUUGCCUGGCAACCAGAGGAGGCCGGUCACGACUAGAUGCUUCAGCACCCAGCUUAGGCCACUGGCCUGGCAGACUCCCCUGAGAGCCGUGCCUGUGUCCACAGGCUGCAUCAUCAGGCAUAGAGACUUGGAGUAGCCC